GAGUAAGUUCCAAACGAUAAACAACUAAAUUUUCAGUUUUUUAGGAAAAGCCCCAAUACCGUAAUUAAAUUCUUUAAAAAAAAAAACUAGUAUUAAAAAUUCCCCUUGAACCCUUGGACAACAUUCUGGCGCGGGCUUCGGUCCGUAUCGUCUGUGACCCCCUUUGGAUGUAACUCAAAACUGGAACUAUUCCUCGGGUGUAAACUCA